rnacentral:rRNA from 1 species
AGUGAACGCUGGCGGUAGGCCUAACACAUGCAAGUCGAACGGCAGCACAGUAAGAGCUUGCUCUUACGGGUGGCGAGUGGCGGACGGGUGAGGAAUACAUCGGAAUCUACUUUUUCGUGAGGGAUAACGUAGGGAAACUUACGCUAAUACCGCAUACGACCUACGGGUGAAAGCAGGGGAUCUUCGGACCUUGCGCGAUUGCAUGAGCCGAUGUCGGAUUAGCUAGUUGGCGGGGUAAAGGCCCACCAAGGCGACGAUCCGUAGCUGGUCUGAGAGGAUGAUCAGCCACACUGGAACUGAGACACGGUCCAGACUCCUACGGGAGGCAGCAGUGGGGAAUAUUGGACAAUGGGCGCAAGCCUGAUCCAGCCAUACCGCGUGGGUGAAGAAGGCCUUCGGGUUGUAAAGCCCUUUUGUUGGGAAAGAAAAGCAGCAGGUUAAUACCCCGCUGUUCUGACGGUACCCAAAGAAUAAGCACCGGCUAACUUCGUG